UGGAACCUACGGGAGGCAGCAGUGGGGAAUAUUGCACAAUGGGGGAAACCCUGAUGCAGCGACGCCGCGUGAGUGAAGAAGUAAUUCGUUACGUAAAGCUCUAUCAGCAGGGAAGAAAUACUGACCUUACGGUCAGCAGACGGUACCUGAGUAAGAAGCCCCGGCUAACUACGUGCCAGCAGCCGCGGUAAUACGUAGGGGGCAAGCGUUAUCCGGAUUUACUGGGUGUAAAGGGAGCGUAGACGGUACGCCAAGUCUGAAGUGAAAUGCCGCAACUUAACUGCGGAACUGCUUUGGAAACUGGC
rnacentral:rRNA from 1 species